AGACUGCCCAAAGACCUGAAAGGCCCAGAGGUGUUCUAGGUCCCGACGCGGCUGCUGGAAGCCACCUUUGGUGAGUGUGCCCAGUGCUGGCCUGGGUGCCCUACCUGGGAGCUCUCAUCCCCUUCCCCCAGCAGGCCCGUAUGGAUAAUCCCUUACAUCGAGCAGAUGAGCAAGGCCAUGCUCCAGCUGAAGGCUCUGGAGUCUUCAGACCUCACCGAGGUCGUGGUUUACAGCUCCUAUUGGUACAAGCUCCAAACCAAGUGGAUGCUCCAGUCCAUGGCUGAGUGGCACUGCCAGCACCAGGAGCAAGGGAUGCUCAAACUUGCAGAAGCCAUGAAUGCCCUCAAACUAGACCCUUGGAUGAA
rnacentral:lncRNA from 1 species